AGGAAGGUGGGGAUGACGUCAAAUCAUCAUGCCCCUUAUGUCUAGGGCUACACACGUGCUACAAUGGUAGGUACAACAAGAUGCAAUACCGUGAGGUGGAGCUAAACUCAAAAACCUAUCCCAGUUCGGAUUGUAGGCUGAAACUCGCCUACAUGAAGCCGGAGUUGCUAGUAAUCGCGAAUCAGCAUGUCGCGGUGAAUACGUUCCCGGGCCUUG
rnacentral:rRNA from 1 species